CUACUUUAACCGGGUAUAGUAGGUCAACACAUUAUUUUUUUAAAGAAAAAAUAUCAUUAAAAAUUUGUCAUAUAUUAAUUUUUUUAAAAAAAAGAUGUGUUGACCUGUUAUAGCAGGUUAAAAAAAGUGG
rnacentral:pre_miRNA from 1 species